CUCUCUCUCUCUCUCUCCUCCUCCACCCUUUCCAAGCACCUACAUUUGUCUCCUUCUUUAUAUCUAUCCACCACCUCUCCACCUCCAAAACGUUGCUCUCCCUCUACACCUACACUAACCAACCAACCAACCAACACUAAAACAAAGCAGUAAAGCACCCACCAAAAAGGAGAAAUAUAUGGGAAAUUGUUUACGCCGCGAAUCGUCCAUGCAAUGGGGCGGCGAUGACUGGGGCUCACCAGUGCCGGACCGGUUUUUUUCUAGCAACGGAAGCAGCAGGCUUGACAAUAAGAUCAUGAGUAUAGAAGAGGAGGAGCUUCUUGGAGACGACAAACGCUUAUUAACAUCUUCAACUACAUCAAGUACAGAAGUAAAGUUCAAGAUUACAAAGAAACAGCUGGAGGAGCUGCUGAGCAGGGUUGACAUGAAAGAAUUAUCAGUAAAACAAGUUUUAGCUCAGUUGAUGAACGUCAGCUCGGAACGAUAUGAGUCCCAUCAACGGUCGUGGAGGCCUAAUCUGCAGAGUAUUCCUGAGUGAUAUGAAGGGUGAUGGUGAUGAUGAUGAACAAGUUUUAUGUGUGGAAUCUCUCUGCCCCAUUUUUCUUGUGGGACCUAGCAGCUUGUCUGUAUAUGGUUUUAUUUUGCAGGGAAGAUACAUAGAUCAAGAAAAAUGGAGCUACAAAGGUUCUACAGGUUUUGUUGAUUGUGUAUAUAUAGUUUAUAGUUCAAGGCUGAAUCUUUUUCUUGUUGAAAGCAUUUUGGAUACUGUUAAGCUUUUUUAUUUUCUUUUUUAAUCAAAAUGAUGCAGGAGUUUAAUUGAAUCUCAAAUCUUAAUUUUUUUUUCACUUUAAAAUAGACAUAUACUUUUUAUUUAACUAUUAACUAAUAAUCAAUGAUCAAUUCAAGACAAUUUGAUGCACAAUGAUAGAAUAUGUUGUCG
rnacentral:misc_RNA from 1 species